rnacentral:snoRNA from 1 species
AAAUACAUUAGAUAUAUAUGAGCAGUGUUAUUUCUUAUGUGCUAUACAAAUAAUUGAAGGCUAAUCAGCAGUAUAACUAUAAAUAGUAAUGCUAAGGCUGGGUGCAAUGGCUCACGC